GGCAAAUUCUGCCUCCUGAGCUUAUUUGGAGAACUAGUACAUGGAAUGGAAAAGAGGUAUUCACAGUGUUUGAAGAUCAUCUACUUAGUCUUCUUGCAUGCAACGAAAGAGCUAUUAUUUGAUCUAUAGUGCAGUGGAAAUGCAAAGUGACAAAUGGGUUUACCACUGUAUGGCAAUGAGUCAAGGAGGAGAGAAGCCAACUAGCCUAGAUGUUAAUGACAAGGCUAUCAAUUAUAGGGUUGGAAAUGGGCAGAUUGCCUGGAGCCAUUCUCUGAUCCUGCUUCUUCAAAACAUGCAGCUAAACCCAAGUAAGGACACUACAAACUUGAAGAUAAAGAGGAGUCUCAAGACCAGGAACUACUACGAAUGUCAUGAUUUACAGUUUGAUGCUUUUCUAUAGAGCACUCACGGAGAUGGAUGAACAUCCUUAUAUCUAUUGAUGCUUUAUAAGAACAGCUGGAUCAUAUUUAAAAGUAUACUUCCAAUUUAAUGAA